rnacentral:snoRNA from 1 species
GAACCAUGGUUGGGGCAUUUUCUCAACAACAUCUGAAAACGCUCUCAUACUUCAUAAAAUGCUUCAUCUGCACCUUGUUUGAAAGUUGAUAUCUCGAACUUUGCAUGC